UGAGGAAUAUUGGGCAAUGCCCGCAAGGGUGACCCAGCAACGCCGCGUGGAGGAUGAAUGUCGUAAGAUUGUAAACUCCUGUUAGAGGGGAAGAAUAGUACCGGUUGGACCGGUAUAUGACUGUACCCUCAGAGAAAGCCCCGGCUAACUACGUGCCAGCAGCCGCGGUAAUACGUAGGGGGCAAGCGUUGUCCGGAUUUACUGGGUGUAAAGGGCGCGCAGGCGGGAUAAAAAGUCAGUGGUGAAAUCCUACAGCUUAACUGUAGAACUGCCCUUGAUACUUUUAUUCUUGAGUUCGGGAGAGAGAGACGGAAUUCCAGGUGUAGUGGUGAAAUACGUAGAUAUCUGGAAGAACACCAGUUGCGAAGGCGGUCUCUUGGUCCGACACUGACGCUGAGGCGCGAAAGCGUGGGGAGCAAACA
rnacentral:rRNA from 1 species